rnacentral:tRNA from 1 species
GCCUGGGUGGCUUAGUCGGUUAAGCGUCCAACUUUGGCUUAGGUCAUGAUCUAGCAGUUCACGAGUUCGAGCCCCGCCUCGGGCU